AUUGAACGCUGGCGGCAGGCCUAACACAUGCAAGUCGAGCGGAUGACGGGAGCUUGCUCCUUGAUUCAGCGGCGGACGGGUGAGUAAUGCCUAGGAAUCUGCCUGGUAGUGGGGGAUAACGUUCCGAAAGGAACGCUAAUACCGCAUACGUCCUACGGGAGAAAGCAGGGGACCUUCGGGCCUUGCCCUAUCAGAUGAGCCUAGGUCGGAUUAGCUAGUUGGUGAGGUAAUGGCUCACCAAGGCUACGAUCCGUAACUGGUCUGAGAGGAUGAUCAGUCACACUGGAACUGAGACACGGUCCAGACUCCUACGGGAGGCAGCAGUGGGGAAUAUUGGACAAUGGGCGAAAGCCUGACCCAGCCAUGCCGCGUGUGUGAAGAAGGUCUUCGGAUUGUAAAGCACUUUAAGUUGGGAGGAAGGGCAGUAAGUUAAUACCUUGCUGUUUUGACGUUACCGACAGAAUAAGCACCGGCUAGCUUCGUGCCAGCCGCCGCCGUAAAAC
rnacentral:rRNA from 1 species